UGUGUGUGUGUGUGUGUGUGUGAUGAUUAUAUAUUCCUGCAUGAAUUGAGAACUUUCAUUUUCUGGAUCAUUCACAUCUGAAGUUCACUUGAUCCACCAGAGGUCAUGAAGACCCACAUUCUGUCCCCAGCGUCAGCGGUCUUCCUCUGGGUUUGGUGUUCGAGUUUUCCCCCGACUCACGGCACCACGGCGUGUCCAAAUCUCGGCCCGUCUGCCGCAGAAUCUCCUGCUUUAGAUUCCUUGGAAUGUCGGAGCGACUACAUGACUCACAUUCGCUGUAGCUGGACAGAAG